CGUCCGUACCGUAAACCGACACAGGUGGGUGGGGUGAGUAUCCUAAGGCGCUCGAGAGAACCAUCGCUAAGGAACUCGGCAAAAUAGCUCCGUAACUUCGGGAUAAGGAGUGCCCUCUGAAGUUGAGGUCUUCGCGACGCAAGGUUUCGGGGGGUCGCAGUGAAAGGUGGGCUGCAACUGUUUAUCAAAAACACAGGUCUGUGCCAAGGCGCAAGCCGAUGUAUACAGACUGACGCUUGCUCAGUGACGGAAGGUUAAAGCAAGGGGUCAGGCGCAAGCCGAAGCUCCGAACCCAAGCCCCGUUAAACAGCGGCCGUAACUAUGACGGUCCUAAGGUAGCGAAAUUCCUUGUCGGGUAAGUUCCGACCUGCACGAAUGACAUAAUGAUGGCAGCGCUGUCUCCAGCAGAGACUCAGUGAAAUCGAAAUCGCAGUGAAGAUGCUGUGUACCCGCGGCUAGACGGAAAGACCCCGUGAACCUUUACUACAGCUUUACAUUGAACUUUGACCUGACUUGUGUAGGAUAGGUGGGAGGCUUUGAAGUGACGACGCCAGUUGCCAUGGAGCCAACCUUGAAAUACCACCCUGGUUAU
rnacentral:rRNA from 1 species